rnacentral:rRNA from 1 species
GAUGAACGCUGGCGGCGUGCCUAAUACAUGCAAGUCGAGCGAACAGACAAGGAGCUUGCUCCUUUGACGUUAGCGGCAGACGGGUGAGUAACACGUGGGUAACCUACCUAUAAGACUGGGAUAACUUCGGGAAACCGGAGCUAAUACCGGAUAAUAUUUCGAACCGCAUGGUUCGAUAGUGAAAGAUGGUUUUGCUAUCACUUAUAGAUGGACCCGCGCCGUAUUAGCUAGUUGGUAAGGUAACGGCUUACCAAGGCGACGAUACGUAGCCGACCUGAGAGGGUGAUCGGCCACACUGGAACUGAGACACGGUCCAGACUCCUACGGGAGGCAGCAGUAGGGAAUCUUCCGCAAUGGGCGAAAGCCUGACGGAGCAACGCCGCGUGAGUGAUGAAGGUCUUCGGAUCGUAAAACUCUGUUAUUAGGGAAGAACAUACGUGUAAGUAACUAUGCACGUCUUGACGGUACCUAAUCAGAAAGCCACGGCUAACUACGUGCCAGCAGCCGCGGUAAUACGUAGGUGGCAAGCGUUAUCCGGAAUUAUUGGGCGUAAAGCGCGCGUAGGCGGUUUUUUAAGUCUGAUGUGAAAGCCCACGGCUCAACCGUGGAGGGUCAUUGGAAACUGUAAAACUUGAGUGCAGAAGAGGAAAGUGGAAUUCCAUGUGUAGCGGUGAAAUGCGCAGAGAUAUGGAGGAACACCAGUGGCGAAGGCGACUUUCUGGUCUGUAACUGACGCUGAUGUGCGAAAGCGUGGGGAUCAAACAGGAUUAGAUACCCUGGUAGUCCACGCCGUAAACGAUGAGUGCUAAGUGUUAGGGGGUUUCCGCCCCUUAGUGCUGCAGCUAACGCAUUAAGCACUCCGCCUGGGGAGUACGACCGCAAGGUUGAAACUCAAAGGAAUUGACGGGGACCCGCACAAGCGGUGGAGCAUGUGGUUUAAUUCGAAGCAACGCGAAGAACCUUACCAAAUCUUGACAUCCUUUGACAACUCUAGAGAUAGAGCCUUCCCCUUCGGGGGACAAAGUGACAGGUGGUGCAUGGUUGUCGUCAGCUCGUGUCGUGAGAUGUUGGGUUAAGUCCCGCAACGAGCGCAACCCUUAAGCUUAGUUGCCAUCAUUAAGUUGGGCACUCUAAGUUGACUGCCGGUGACAAACCGGAGGAAGGUGGGGAUGACGUCAAAUCAUCAUGCCCCUUAUGAUUUGGGCUACACACGUGCUACAAUGGACAAUACAAAGGGCAGCGAAACCGCGAGGUCAAGCAAAUCCCAUAAAGUUGUUCUCAGUUCGGAUUGUAGUCUGCAACUCGACUACAUGAAGCUGGAAUCGCUAGUAAUCGUAGAUCAGCAUGCUACGGUGAAUACGUUCCCGGGUCU